UCUGUAUAGUUUUCAUUUACUUUGGUGUA
rnacentral:piRNA from 1 species